rnacentral:lncRNA from 1 species
UUUGGGAGUCUUCUUCCUCCAUUCAUCGGCUCCCAAUCAGAGUCGGAAAGAGCCCCCUCCGGCUCUAUUUAAGGAGGAGAACCCUCCUCUCUCCCUCUCACCAGAGAAUCUCGGGUCAAUCGGCGGCAAUCGUCGGAAAAAGUGCUGCGAAUACCCUUACUGUGCCCGUCCCAGUUUCUCGUCGGAAAGCCUCGCCGGC